rnacentral:tRNA from 1 species
GCGCACCCCUGAUAAGGUGAGGUCGGUGGUUCAAGUCCACUCAGGCCUACC